UAAGUUUUUGGACAGGUUGGGAAGCUGUAUAUUCACUAUCGGGCUUGAGGUGCCGGAUGAGAACACCAUCUAUGAGAGCGAGGAUAUUAUAUGCCUCCUAAAAGACAAAAAAGAGCUGUACAUCCAUAAAGAUCACCUCUCGGCCAAACUGGACAUCUGCAGAGAGCUGGUGAAACUGUUCACCACAGACAAGAGCUUUGCUAAAGAGCUAGAGCGCUUCCCUCCAGGGGCUUGUAGACAU